UCGCGGGGUGGAGCAGUCUGGUAGCUCGUCGGGCUCAUAACCCGAAGGUCGUCGGUUCAAAUCCGGCCCCCGCAACCAG
rnacentral:tRNA from 2 species